rnacentral:rRNA from 1 species
UUUAAAUUGAGAGUUUGAUCCUGGCUCAGGAUGAACGCUGGCGGCGUGCUUAACACAUGCAAGUCGAGCGAGGGAGCACCUUCGGGUGUGAACUAGCGGCGGACGGGUGAGUAACACGUGGGCAACCUGCCUUACAGAGGGGGAUAGCCUUCCGAAAGGAAGAUUAAUACCGCAUAUUAUGWUUUUUCUGCAUGGGAAAGUCAUGAAAGGAGCAAUCCGCUGUAAGAUGGGCCCGCGGCGCAUUAGCUAGUUGGUGAGGUAAGGGCUCACCAAGGCGACGAUGCGUAGCCGACCUGAGAGGGUGAUCGGCCACAUUGGGACUGAGACACGGCCCAGACUCCUACGGGAGGCAGCAGUGGGGAAUAUUGCACAAUGGGGGAAACCCUGAUGCAGCAACGCCGCGUGAGUGAUGACGGCCUUCGGGUUGUAAAGCUCUGUCUUCAGGGACGAUAAUGACGGUACCUGAGGAGGAAGCC